UCGGGGUGUCGCGACUGGCGUUGAGGUGGGUCACCACCGGGAAGCGACGGACUACGGCAUUCGACCGCACGCCUGGGCCGAUGUG
rfam:Microbacterium sp. Root180 contig_1, whole genome shotgun sequence.